UGGGUUAGUCGGUCCCUAAGGCGAGGCAGAAAUGCGUAGUCGAUGGGAAGCAGGCGAAUAUUCCUGCACCAGCACGGAAGGUUUCACGAGGAGGGACGGAGGAGGAUAGCCAAGCGACCUGAUGGAUGGUCGUUCAAGCCGGUAGGCAGCUCGCGUAGGAGGCGUAGGCCGCAAACGCGUGAGCAAUGCCGAGAGGUGAUGAGGGUCGCCGCAAGGCGGACAACUUGGUGAUUCCAUGCUUCCAAGAAAAGCUUCGCGUGAGUGUACCUCUGUGCUGACCGUACCGUAAACCGACACAGGUGGGUGGGGAGAACAUCCCAAGGCGCUUGAGAGAACUCGGGUUAAGGAACUCGCAAAUUGACACCGUAACUUCGGGAGAAGGUGUGCCCUUGAGGGUGAUCGGCUUCGCGCCGCGAGCCUUUGGGGGUUGCAGAGAAUCGGGGGUAGCGACUGUUUAUCAAAAACACAGGACUCUGCGAAGUCGCAAGACGACGUAUAGGGUCUGACGCCUGCCCGGUGCUGGAAGGUUAACAGGAGAUGUCAGGGCAACCGAAGCAUCGAAUCGAAGCCCCAGUAAACGGCGGCCGUAACGAUAACGGUCCUAAGGUAGCGAAAUUCCUUGGCGGGUAAGUUCCGUCCUGCACGAAUGGCGUAACGACUUCCCCACUGUCUCGACCCGGGACUCAGCGAAAUUGAAAUCGGGGUGAAGAUGCCCUGUACCCGCGGAAAGACGGAAAGACCCCGUGAACCUUUACUGCAGCUUGGCACUGGUUUUCGGAUUUGUCUGUGUAGGAUAGGUGGGAGGCUGUGAAGUGGGGCCGCUAGGUUCCACGGAGCCAACGUUGAAAUACCACCCUGACAAAUCUGAAAGCCUAACCGUGACCCGUAAGCCGGGUCCGGAACACUGCCUGGUGGGUAGUUUGACUGGGGCGGUCACCUCCGAAAAAGUAACGGAGGCGCGCAAAGGUUCCCUCAGGCUGAUUGGAAACCAGCCGUAGAGUGUAAAAGCACAAGGGAGCUUGACUGCAACUCAUACGAGAGGAGCAGGUACGAAAGUAGGCUUUAGUGAUCCGGUGGUUCUGAAUGGAAGGGCCAUCGCUCAACGGAUAAAAGGUACUCCGGGGAUAACAGGCUUAUCACGCCCAAGAGUUCACAUCGACGGCGUGGUUUGGCACCUCGAUGUCGGCUCAUCGCAUCCUGGGGCUGUAGUAGGUCCCAAGGGUUUGGCUGUUCGCCAAUUAAAGCGGUACGCGAGCUGGGUUCAAAACGUCGUGAGACAGUUUGGUCCCUAUCUUCCGUGGGCGCAGGAGU
rnacentral:rRNA from 1 species